rnacentral:rRNA from 1 species
GUGAGCGGCAAAAGCUCAAAUUUGAAAUCUGGCACCUUCGGUGUCCCAUUUGUAAUUUGAAGAAGGUAACUUUGGAGUUGGCUCUUGUCUAUGUUCCUUGGAACAGGACGUCACAGAGGGUGAGAAUCCCGUGCGAUGAGAUGCCCAAUUCUAUGUAAAGUGCUUUCGAAGAGUCGAGUUGUUUGGGAAUGCAGCUCUAAGUGGGUGGUAAAUUCCAUCUAAAGCUAAAUAUUGGCGAGAGACCGAUAGCGAACAAGUACAGUGAUGGAAAGAUGAAAAGAACUUUGAAAAGAGAGUGAAAAAGUACGUGAAAUUGUUGAAAGGGAAGGGCUUGAGAUCAGACUUGGUAUUUUGCGAUCCUUUCCUUCUUGGUUGGGUUCCUCGCAGCUUACUGGGCCAGCAUCGGUUUGGAUGGUAGGAUAAUGACUAAGGAAUGUGGCUCUACUUCGGUGGAGUGUUAUAGCCUUGGUUGAUACUGCCUGUCUAGACCGAGGACUGCGUCUUUUGACUAGGAUGUUGGCAUAAUGAUCUUAAGCCACCCGUCUU